rnacentral:tRNA from 1 species
AGCGGUGUAUCCGAACUGGUACAGGAGGGGGCCUUAAAAGCCUCUGGCCGCAAGGCCGUGUGGGUUCGAAUCCCACCACCGCUACCA